ensembl:lncRNA
GAAAGGGACCGGGCCGGCCGCCAUAUUGGAGCCCUGGAGCUGCGGCGGGCCAAGGCUUCGUGGGGCUCGUGGAGCUGAGAGGUGGCAUGGUGAGAAUGGUGUCUGACCCCUGCCCCAACCACUGAAUUUUCGUUACGUCCUGGAUUGCAAAGGACCUCAGAGCAAUCUUUGGUAGAUAACAUGAUCACGAAGGAUUAUAGCUUUGCCCUGAUAAUGACAAAGGAAGUAUCUACCAGAAGAAGUUAGCACUUAAUCUUUCUUACCCCACCAGCGAAUGUAAACGACAUUGAAAAGGGACUACAAGUUCUGAGGUUCACUAGAGAAAGAUACUAGAAGACCUGCUGAGGGUCUCUGAGAAGUUAAAAAUGCUGAUAUGCAUAAUUUGUGUAUUUUAUUUUUCCCUCCUGAGCUUUUCGAAGGAGAUGCAUAGCUUGGUGGUGAGGAUUCACACAGCACGGUCAAGACCCUGGAUUGGAUCCCUGGCACUGGUUUGUUUGUAUCAGUGAAAAUACACACUGUGCCUUUGUUAGAAGUUAAUAAAAUUCAGCUGACAUGUAGAUCUUCCUUUCAAAAAGCUAGGCAGGCUGCUUUUAAAAUUGCCAAAACACAAUAGGAACCCUCAAAGAUAUAUGGAGAUGAUGGUAGUUAAUAGGCAGUUUUCAAAGACUUGGCUUAUGUUGUGAGAAGCAGCCCCAGAAGUGGCAAAAGCCAUUCUUGUGACUUCAGCAACCUAAAAACCUCAGAAAUAUGACGAUUCUUCUACCUGUAAUGAUGGAACCGCUACUUGGAUCAAGAAAAAGCAAAAAGAAAAAUUACAUUUUUGAGUAUGUUUUCUGCACAUAUCCCAAAGAAGUGCAGCAACCAUUGUCAUACAGACCUGGUGACAAAAUUCUGUUUAAAGCACACCAUCUGUGCAUGAUUUCAUUAAACAUACCAGGACUUGGGAAGUUUGAGUUAAGAACUGGCUUGGGCAUUCCAAGAUCAUAUCUCAGAAAACAUCCUGGAUGCUGGGAUUAAAGUGUAACCGUUGAUGAACUCCACUCUCCGCGAAAAAUAAUACCAAGAUUUUUGGAGUUCAUAGCUCACAAUUCAACAGUUCUUAAUCCUUAUACACAUACAGAGAGAUUUUCACAUACUUGUCCAGAAUGAAAAGCAAUGUAGACAAAAAAUUCUCUUUGAACAAACACAAUAGUAUAAGUGAAGAAUGAUUUCCAAGGCCCUCUGCUCCGCAUAGGAACCUUAGAUCAGAAUCUGACCCUAUCAGUACUGAUACUACUUAACUGUGAGUGGUCCUUAGUAACAGGUACUGAGCUCAGUGAUUCCUAAUGUCAACCUAGCGGGACCUGGACUUGUUACAAUACACACAUAGACCACUGCUAAGUUCCAGGAGCUAAAUACUGCCUCGUUGAUCCUAAGCAUAUAGGAUAAAGGGCUUUCCCUUCCAGAACAGUUAAUAUGCCUGGGCCAUGUGUUACUGAAGUACAGCAGAUCUAUCACAGUUUUAAAAACAAUGCUGUCUUUUUCUUUUCCUUUGGAGCUGGGGACCGAACCCAGGGCCUUGCACUUGCUAGGCAAGCGCUCUACCACUGAGCUAAAUCCCCAACCCUAAUACUGUCUUUUUAAGACAGGGUUUUACCUUAUAGACUAGGUUGGCCCCAAAUUUGGCAAUCCAUCUGCUUUUGCCUCCUGAGUGCUAGUAUUAUUUAAGGGGUUACUUUCUGUGGGUUGUAGGUAUAGGUGAGUGCUGAUGUCAGAGGAGGCCAGAGGUGCCAGAUCUCCCUGUACCUAGUUAACUAAGUAACUAUGAGGUACCCAACUUAGUUGUUGGGACCCAAACUUCAGCCGGAUGAUAGAACAACAUUCACAGUUAACCAGUAGGCAUCACCAAUUCCUUGAGAGCUACAUCCACUCCGUCUUCCUGGUCCUAUUUUCCCGCACUCACCACCACCAGGUCUUGAGAUGGAUUGGAUUAGCCUGUAAUUUAGAACUCUGGUUGCCUUCCAAAAGCUGCGAUUGCUGGCUUCUCUAACCAGCUUCUGGCUUCUGUUUUUGUUUAAAAAAAUAAAUAACUGGGUGUGGUGGUACGUGCUUUUAAGUCCUGGCACUGGGGACAUGAAGGUAGGAGGAUAUUCAAGGUCAGCUUGGUGUAGAGUUUCCAGGACAGCCUGGCCUAUAUAAACUCAACCAGUUGUGUUUUUAAGACGGGAUUUCUGUAACCCCAUAGUAUAAUCAUGCCAUGUUUGUAUAUACAAGGCACUAAUUUUGGUCUGUCAAAGAAUCUGCUCUGUAGCCAGGCUGACCUCAUGUUCUGGCCUGCCUCUGCCCACUGAGCGCU